rnacentral:rRNA from 1 species
CCUACGAGUGGCUGCAGUGGGGAAUAUUGGACAAUGGGCGAAAGCCUGAUCCAGCCAUGCCGCGUGUGUGAAGAAGGCCUUCGGGUUGUAAAGCACUUUCAGUGGGGAAGAAAGCCUUGGGGCUAAUACCCUCGAGGAAGGACAUCACCCACAGAAGAAGCACCGGCUAACUCCGUGCCAGCAGCCGCGGUAAUACGGAGGGUGCGAGCGUUAAUCGGAAUUACUGGGCGUAAAGCGCGCGUAGGCGGUCUGAUAAGCCGGUUGUGAAAGCCCCGGGCUCAACCUGGGAACGGCAUCCGGAACUGUCAGGCUAGAGUGCAGGAGAGGAAGGUAGAAUUCCCGGUGUAGCGGUGAAAUGCGUAGAGAUCGGGAGGAAUACCAGUGGCGAAGGCGGCCUUCUGGACUGACACUGACGCUGAGGUGCGAAAGCGUGGGUAGCAAACAGGAUUAGAUACCCGGGUAGUC